AAUAAACGCAGCCAUGAGUUUCCGUGUCCAACUUUAAUCAUCCGUCUUAUUUGAAAUUUUUGUAUGAUUAGUAUUUUUAUUGUUAUUAGAUUAUAAAACAUGAAUAGUAGUUUAUGCGUGACUUGUGUUUUUUAGUUUUUUCAAAAAAAAAUUAAAUAAGACGAACAAUUAAAGUUGGACAAGAAAACUCAUGGCUACGCUUAUU
rfam:Oryza sativa Japonica Group DNA, chromosome 8, cultivar: Nipponbare, complete sequence.